rnacentral:rRNA from 1 species
UACGAAGGGGCGUAGCGUUGUUCGGAAUCACUGGGCGUAAAGCGCACGUAGGCGGACUUUUAAGUUCAGGGGUGGAAAUCCCCGGGGCGUCAACCCCCGGAACCUGCCUUUGUAUACUGGAAGUCUUGAGUCCGAGAGAGGUGAGUGGAACUCCGAGUGUAGAGGUGAAAUUCGUAGAUAUUCGGAAGAACACCAGUGGCGAAGGCGGCUCACUGGCUCGAUACUGACGCUGAGGUGCGAAAGUGUGGGGAGCAAACAGGAUUAGAUACCCGCGUAGU